CCUACGGGUGGCAGCAGUAGGGAAUAUUGCACAAUGGGGGAAACCCUGAAGCAGCAACGCCGCGUGGAGGAUGAAGGUUUUCGGAUUGUAAACUCCUUUUGUUAGAGAAGAUAAUGACGGUAUCUAACGAAUAAGCACCGGCUAACUCCGGGCCAGCAGCCGCGGUAAUACGGAGGGUGCAAGCGUUACGCGGAAUCACUGGGCGUAAAGAGCGCGCAGGCGGGAUAGCAAGUCAGAUGUGAAAUCCUAUGGCUUAACCAUAGAACUGCAUUUGAAACUGUUAGUCUAGAGUAUGGGAGAGGUAGGUGGAAUUCUUGGUGUAGGGGUAAAAUGCGUAGAGAUCAGGAGGAAUACUCAUGGCGAAGGCGACCUGCUAGAACAUAACUGACGCUGAUGCGCGAAAGCGUGGGGAGCAAACAGGAUUAGAUACCCUAGUAGUC
rnacentral:rRNA from 1 species